CGACCCCAGGUCAGUCGGGACCACCCGCUGAGUUUAAGCAUAUAAAUAAGCGGAGGAGAAGAAACUUACAAGGAUUCCCCUAGUAACGGCGAGCGAACCGGGACCAGCCCAGCUUGAGAAUCGGGUGGCUUCGUCACCUGAAUUGUAGUCUGGAGAGGCGUCCUCAGCGACGGACCGGGCCCAAGUUCCCUGGAAAGGGACGCCUGGGAGGGUGAGAGCCCCGUCCGGCCCGGACCCUGCCGCACCACGAGGCGCCGUGU
rnacentral:ncRNA from 1 species